UAGCCUGCCAGAUCAGACACAAUGGAAUCAAGCAAGCCCACUUUAGCUGCUGUAUUAAAUGAGCUAGUUCCGAUUGAAGACAAAUGGCAGGACAUUGGGAUACAGCUGAACCUGAAAGAUGAAAUAUUGCUGGGAAACCUACCAACACACGCUCUCAGUUGCAAGAAAUGAUUCGCCAUUGGCUGGACACUAGUAAGGCUUCUUGGACUGACCUAGUUUCUGUUUUGAGUACACGUUUAGUGUCAGAGGAAACCAUAGCAGGUGUACUGAGCUUUACGUAUUGCUAUGAUCAUGAACCCCUCAAUACUGAUGGAGGGGAAAGCCGCAAAGAUUCGUUGGAGAGAGAGCCUCGUCUCAAUGGCAACCAUCGCUCUGAAGCUAGAACUAAGUCAAUCGUAGUGAGAGUCAAAGGUCGAAAUGUACCCCGUGAAGUUACAUCACGGCUCGAAAAGACAGUUCCAGAGUGUGAUGGCACAGAGCAUAGUCUUGGAAACUAUGAGGUGGAUAAAGGUCACACCCAUAAAUCUCAUCGUCACUCAAUUUCAAGCGCUUCAGGCAUGUUUCUAAGAUAAUGUUAUCAAUUUUAAUGUUUCUCCACCUGUAUAGAACUUCUAAAAAGUGAGGUUGGAAAGUCGCUGAGAAGAAAAUUGCUGAGUGAUGUUAAAUCUGCUAGAAGACACCUGAAUGGUCACUCUGAACCAGUAGUGAUUGACUCAAGAUCAAAGCACACCCCAGAGGGAAAUCCUGACCUACAGGAUCGUAUACGAGGCUCAUACUCGGAAGGCACAACGGAAACUCCCAACUCAAGAUUGAAAUCGAGGCAGACCAGAGUCGUUGAAAACACACAAAGAGAUUACACAAAACAACUGGUAUCAUCCACUGACAAACGUAAGAGUCAAUUCUUACCUGAGAAGGAGAAACAUACUCCAAGACGACCAGACAAAGACAUGGCGGCCGUUAGUUGAUUCAAUAACUCAUCAUCGCCAAAUCGUUUCUCGAGAAGAUCCAUAGACGUGAAAAAUACGACAGAUAGAUCAAGAAAGGCUCCAGAACUCUUAAAAAAUGCUCACACUCAAAUUGUAUGCUCAAAAACACCUGAGAGUAUUCUGAACCGGAACAGAAUAGCGGCUGCAAUUUGUGACACUGUGAAGACAACUCUAAACGAGAAUAAAUGUGACAAGCAAAAGGUGAGAUCAGAUGCACCUAAAAAACGAGCAAGUUUUGUUUCGAUUGAGUCACCCUGUGACCUGUUCGAAGGUUUGAUAAAGCUGUGAAAUCCCUUAUGAAGAGUAGUUCAAAACAUUUUAAAAGUGUGGAAAGAAACGUGAAAGUGUCUGAUAUAGAUUAAACCUCAGAAAACAACUCUCACUGUCACUCCACUCAUUCUGAGCACUCAACGUCCAGCUCACAUUACCCCACAAAGAAUACUUCAGACACAAAAAUGUCAAAAGAAGGAUCUGAUUUGGAGAUAGCCUCAAGAAAAUCUAAAUACAAACACUCUACAAAAUCACCUGUUGAAAGAGAGUGUAAAUCCCGGUCAAGUAAAGUGGUCAAGAUUGAGGUGACUAGUGACGGUUCUCCCUCUCAAAAGAUCAAGAAGAGCUCUUACCACUACUCCAGUGACUCAGAACUUACGAAGUGCAAAUCAAAACACACUAAAAAUAAAUCCGAAAAAAGUGCGGAGAGAAAGAGGAAAUCUGAAGAAGAGUCCGACUCAGAAACUGUUCCAAGCGCUCACACUUGACUAAAUCUCCUCUUCAAAAUGAAAGUGACUCCUUGCCAAGUAAGGUGAUCAAAAUUGAGGUGUCCAGUGAUAUAGAAGUGUCAACCCGCCGAAAGAUAAAAAAGAGCUCACACAAAUACUCUAGUGAUUCUGACAGUACAAAGAAACAAUCUGAAAAGCAUGCAGAUAAAAAGAAGAAAUUGGAAGCAGAAAAAGAGGCUGAACCAGAAUCGACCUCAAGAUGUGAAAAUUAUGAUAUUCAUAACUUUUCAAAACUCCUCACGAGUAGCUUUUAUUUCCAAAUUAUC